rnacentral:rRNA from 1 species
UGACGAGUGGCGAACGGGUGAGUAAUAUAUCGGAACGUGCCCAGUCGUGGGGGAUAACUACUCGAAAGAGUAGCUAAUACCGCAUACGACCUGAGGGUGAAAGCGGGGGAUCGCAAGACCUCGCGCGAUUGGAGCGGCCGAUAUCAGAUUAGGUAGUUGGUGGGGUAAAAGCCCACCAAGCCAACGAUCUGUAGCUGGUCUGAGAGGACGACCAGCCACACUGGGACUGAGACACGGCCCAG